rnacentral:rRNA from 1 species
AUUGAACGCUGGCGCCAUGCCUUACACAUGCAAGUCGAACGGCAGCACGGGUGCUUGCACCUGGUGGCGAGUGGCGAACGGGUGAGUAAUACAUCGGAACAUGUCCUGUAGUGGGGGAUAGCCCGGCGAAAGCCGGAUUAAUACCGCAUACGAUCUACGGAUGAAAGCGGGGGACCUUCGGGCCUCGCGCUAUAGGGUUGGCCGAUGGCUGAUUAGCUAGUUGGUGGGGUAAAGGCCUACCAAGGCGACGAUCAGUAGCUGGCCUGAGAGGACGACCAGUCACACUGGGACUGAGACACGGCCCAGACUCCUACGGGAGGCAGCAGUGGGGAAUUUUGGACAAUGGGCGAAAGCCUGAUCCAGCAAUGCCGCGUGUGUGAAGAAGGCCUUCGGGUUGUAAAGCACUUUUGUCCGGAAAGAAAUCCUUGGCCCUAAUACGGUCGGGGGAUGACGGUACCGGAAGAAUAAGCACCGGCUAACUACGUG